CUGCCCCGGGUCACGUGCUUAGGAGCCAUAUUGUCGCUAGUGGCCGCUGGGGCUGGGAGGGGUGUGCUAGAGAGGCGCAGCUUCUCUGGGCGUGGUUUUUAUCCUGGGGGAAGGAUCGGUGGAAUGUGAGGGGAGGUGGAGGAGAUGGCGGCGACGGCCCGGGAAGAUGGCGCCAGCGGUCAAGAGCGAGGUCAGCGGGGCUGCGAGCACUAUGACAGAGGAUGUCUCCUAAAGGCACCUUGCUGUGACAAGCUUUAUACUUGCCGCUUGUGUCAUGAUAACAAUGAAGAUCAUCAACUAGAUCGCUUUAAAGUGAAGGAAGUGCAGUGCAUAAACUGUGAAAAAAUUCAACAUGCCCAACAGACUUGUGAAGAAUGUAGCACAUUGUUUGGAGAAUAUUAUUGCGAUAUAUGCCAUUUGUUUGACAAAGAUAAGAAGCAGUAUCACUGUGAAAACUGUGGAAUUUGUAGGAUUGGUCCAAAGGAAGAUUUUUUCCAUUGUUUGAAAUGUAACUUAUGCCUAGCUAUGAAUCUUCAAGGAAGACACAAGUGUAUUGAAAAUGUGUCCCGACAGAAUUGUCCAAUAUGUUUGGAGGACAUUCACACAUCCCGUGUUGUUGCUCAUGUCUUGCCAUGUGGACAUCUUUUACAUAGAACGUGUUAUGAAGAAAUGUUGAAAGAGUGAGUGUUUGGGAUUUUAAAAAUAAUUAGGCUACAGAUGUCCAUUAUGUAUGCACUCUGCUUUAGAUAUGACCAGGUAUUGGAGACAGCUGGAUGAUGAAGUAGCACAGACUCCUAUGCCAUCAGAAUAUCAGAACAUGACUGUGGAUAUUCUCUGCAAUGACUGUAAUGGACGAUCCACUGUUCAGUUUCAUAUAUUAGGCAUGAAAUGUAAGAUUUGUGAAUCCUAUAAUACUGCUCAAGCUGGAGGACGUAGAAUUUCACUGGAUCAGCAAUGACGAGCCUACACAGUACUGGAGAACUUGGCAUUUUCUGAUAUAGAAAAAGGCUUUCCUUGGUAUCGUGUUAUCAUGUGUCGUCAUCUAUGCAUUAGAGUUGAUGUGUUUUGUACUAGUGUCACAGCAUAAAAUCAUAUUACAAGUACGUAAGGAUUCAGGGUCUCUUGAUAGACUUAUCAUAGCUCUAUAUUGAAUGAAAGCCACUGUGCUUGUGUUUUGAUUGGAAAUUCCUUUAGUGUCAGUUUUUUGGAAGCCAAUGAUGUUUGCCACUGAUACAUUCAUAGAAGUGUAUUAUAUUUUCAUGAAGCUUUGCUUUAAGUGACACUACGCGUGCAGUUCAUUUCUAGUUCUUGAUAGAACUGCACUUAAUUUUCAGUAGUAGUCUUGACUUUUUAAGGGCUGUGUUAUAUUAAGUUCUCCCUUACUGUUAAAACCUAAUUAAAUAUGCUUUAGAAUUUUCUAAGACAGUCCUCUGGAUCCUCUAAAUGUGAAUUUUGAUGUAAUAACUGCUAAUAAAAUUAUAUUGAAACUGUUUUAUAGAAAGUUUUUUCCAAAGUUUUCUAUGUUUGGCUCAAUUAGGGCAGUAUCAUCAGUUCUAUAAUGUAAAAGAAAUUUUCUUUCUUUUGAGGUAUUCCAUAAAAGUAGUUGGGAAAAUUAUUAUGUAAAAUAAUAAGACUCUUCCAAAGCCUUAAUAAAAACAUCAACAUUGAAAACAGUUUUUUUUAGGUUGCCCAAAAUUAUUUCUUCAAAGAGUCAUUCAUUCCUUCAUUUAGCAAGUAUUUAUUGAGCAACUGCUAUGUGGCAGAUAUGUUUCUAGAUGCUGUAGAGACAACAGUGAACAAUAAAGAUAAAAGUCCUUGUCCUCACAGCAGUACAUUCUAUUGUUCAUCAUAUUUGAUCAAUGUACUCAUUUUUCUUUAUGCAAGGAGUGGAUGUCUUAUUGUAAAUGAAUAGAAUAUUUCUUCCCUAAGCGUGUGAAAAUAGGGGAUGGAUGAGUGGGAAGGGCAUGGGAUAUUCCUGGCAAGAUCUCUGAUUUCAUAAUACUUUUUUGGGCUCAUGUAGUGGAAUUAAAUAUACCUCUUACUUCAGGAACAAAGUUAACAAAUAUGUUUGAUGAUCCAGCCGACUUUGACACUGUUAUCUCCGUAAUAGCUUUACCAUUAGGCUAGGAUGUAAAAUGUACAUUUAUCAGUUGAUAAGUACCUAUUGAGCACCAGUUGUAUUUCCAACUUUGAGCUAUUUGAAUCUUCUUUGAAUAAGGAAGUUAGCCUUUUAACUAGAAAGCCUAAGAGUUCUGGCACAUUUAUUUCUUCUUUUGUUGAAAUUUAUUCACCUAGAUAAAGGCAGCAGUUUGGGACUCAGAUCUUUAUUUUAUCCCACCUUCUUGUCUUCUGUAUUCCACUCUUCUUAUGUUCUUUCCCUUCAUCUGUUUCCUUGGCCUGGCCAGAGCAGCAGUGCUGAUCUUCAUUUGGGAAAGGAUGUUCCUGGGUAUUACCAAUUAGUAUACAGAUAAGUAAAGACUAGUUUUCCAGAUCUAAUACUUUUUUUUGAAGUGGUUUUGCUCUGUCAUUUAGGCUAGAGUGUAGUGAAGUGAUCGUAGCUCACUGCAGCCUUGACUUCCUGGGCUGAACUGAUCCUUCCACCUCAGCCUCCUGAGUAGCUGGGACUACAGGUGUGUGCCACCAUGCCCAGCUAAUUUUUAAUUGUUUUGUAGAAACAAAGUCCAGGCUGGUCUUGAACUCCUGGGCUCAAGCAUUUCUCCUACCUCGGCCUUCCAAGGGCUAGGAUUACAGGCAUGAGCCACUGUGCUUGGUCCAGAUGUAUUACUUUUUAUGUUUGGUAUUAUUCUGCCAAACCAAUCAUGUUAUUGUUUUUAAUCAUUGAAUCAUUGGAUCUUUAAAUAGGAGUGAGUAUAUAAUAAUAAGGCUCUUCUGUUUUCAACAUCUGUGCUGGGUCAUGCAUUAGCAUUAAUUACUACAAUGAUUCUGUGGGGUAAGUGUUGUCCUCAUAGACAAGAAAGCUGAGGUUUAGAGGUUAAAAUGACACAUUGGGGGUAAAUAACAGACACUAUAUGUUGGAGUUGGGAAUCAGAUCCAAGUUUGACUCCAAACCCACUUUUACCACAUUGCUUUUGAUCUAAACUUCUAUUUUGCUAAAAUACCCCUCACAGCUAGUCAUCCAUAUCAUUGAAGCGCUCAUGAUUUGAUAGAUUAACCUUUCAUUUUUUUAGGUGACUCUAGUUAGAAAGUCUUAUUUCACAAUCUGAUUGUUUCUUUAACUUAGGAUCCAAACAUGUCCAAAAUAAUGCAGAGUACAUAUGCAAUCACUCGUUUAUGCUGUCUAGUCAUGCACUUAAAGCAAUUUUCAAAUGUACUCAAAGUCUCUAGGCUUCGGUACCCAGGGUUGCUUCAAGUAUUUGUUCAUGACACGUCAACUCGAUGAUUAAAAUCCUUCAACACUUCUCAUUCACAAUAAGAAUAAAAUCUACAUCCCUUACCAUUCAGUAUGCAAAACUUAAAAUACAUAACUUUACCCUUAAAUAUUUUUUCUUUCUCUGACUUCAUAAGUAUAGGUUAUACCUCUAUAAGAAAGAAGGUAAAAAACUCUCAACAAUCCCUUCUUUCAGAGAGAACUACUGUUAACAUUUUAACAGACAACUUCAUUCUUUUCCUAUUCUUUUUUAUAAUGCUUACAGGAAUGUUAAAUACUUAGACAGAUCUUAAGUACACUAGAAUUAUCUGUCCCUGAAAUAAGUUAGGUUGCCCUGCCGCAGAAUUUGUAUCUAUAGUUUAUUUGGAUUAUUUUUGAAAAAAGUAAAAUAACAAUACCCUUACGAAUUUUUUGGUGCAUAGCAUCUCAGCUUCUUUUAUCAUUAAAGAUGUAUGUAUAAAAAAAAAAUGAGUGUAUAUCAAGUUGUUCAUUUCUUAGUUUCUGGGGUCUUCUUAACCAGUACAUAGAACUCUUUAUGAAUUAACUUUAGCUUAUGUUGGAAGUAGUAGUUUGUUUAUAGUGUCAUGGAUUUUAAAAUCAAACUCAGUUUUUAUUUCUUCACUAAAACCUAUUUUCAUAUGAUAUACAUGUUAAAUUUCCCUUUUAUUUUGGUCAUGCAUCAAAAUAAAUUUACUAAGUACUAAAGAGCCAACAUUAUUUUAUAAGUGCCUGGCAAUAGGUAUUCACUAGUUGAAUAGUUUAAUUUGAAAUGAAUUAAUUUUAAAUGGGAGUUGUUCAAAACUAUGCCACUUUUUCUUUUGUCCUUUGUGUUAUUAAAAUUUAAUUGAUAAUUGUGUAUAUUAUAUAUAUGGAGUACAAUGUGAUGUUUUGAUAUAUGUUUACAGUGUAGAAUGAUUAAAUCAAUGUAAUAAAUUUAUUGCCUCAUACCAUUUUUUGUGGUAAAAAAACCACUUAAAAUCUACUCUUAAUAUUUUUGAAAUGUACAAUGCAUUAUUUAUUAUACUCACCAUUCUGUGUAAUAGAUCAGUAAAGUUUAUUCCUCUUGUCUAA